UAGGGUGACGAGUCGUCCUGGUUUGCCUGAGACUGAGGGGUUUCCUAGAGUGUCAAAACUGGAAAAGUCCCAAGUAAACCAGGAUGACUUG
rnacentral:miRNA from 1 species